rnacentral:tRNA from 1 species
GCCUAGGUGGCUCAGUCGGUUGGGCUUCUGACUUCGGCUCAGGUCAUGAUCUCGUGGUCCGUGGGUUCAAGUCCCGCAUUGGGCU